AUGGCCACUUCAUGUUGAAACAUCGGUUCUCAUAUGAUCACCAAAGUUAAGAAACAAUGAGCUUGGUCAGUACCUAGAUGGGUGACCACUUGGGAAUACCAGCUGCUGUAAG